rnacentral:rRNA from 1 species
UACGGAGGGUGCAAGCGUUAUCCGGAUUCACUGGGUUUAAAGGGUGCGUAGGUGGCUUUAUAAGUCAGUGGUGAAAUACCGCAGCUCAACUGCGGAACUGCCAUUGAUACUGUUUAGCUUGAAUCACGUCGAGGUGGAUGGAAUAUUACAUGUAGCGGUGAAAUGCUUAGAUAUGUAAUAGAACACCGAUUGCGAAGGCAGUUCACUAGGCGUGCAUUGACACUGAGGCACGAAAGCGUGGGGAUCAAACAGG